rnacentral:rRNA from 2 species
AGUGAAGCGGGAUGAGCUCAAAUUUAAAAUCUGGCUGGUUUACUAGUCCGAAUUGUAGUUUAUAGAAGCGUUUUCGGUGGCAGCCUGGGUAUAAAUCCUUUGGAAUAGGGUAUCAUAGAGGGUGAGAAUCCCGUCUUUGACUCAGUGCAUGCUACUAUGUGAUACGUUUUCAAAGAGUCGAGUUGUUUGGGAAUGCAGCUCAAAAUGGGUGGUAAAUUUCAUCUAAAGCUAAAUAUUGGCGAGAGACCGAUAGCGAACAAGUACCGUGAGGGAAAGAUGAAAAGAACUUUGAAAAGAGAGUUAAACAGUGCGUGAAAUUGUUGAAAGGGAAACGUUUGACACCAGUUAUGCGGGUGGAAAAUCAGUCUUUUGCAAUGGGGAGUUGUGGGCGUUCAGACCGCAAGGCUGGCGUUUGCUUCAUCUUUGUUGUAAGUGAUGCACUUUUUCAUUUGCAGGUCAACAUCAGUUUGCUUUGCUGGACAAAACCCCAAGGGAAGGUGGCAGCUUAGGCUGUGUUAUAGCCCUGGGGCGAUACAGUGGAGUGGACUGAGGUUUCGCAGUGUGUGCUCUCGGGCAAGGCUGACUGGGUGCUAUGGGAUCGUUCGGCGUACAAUGCAUGCAUUUUGCGUCGUGUCUUUUUCAUACUCGCUCAACUCGGCUCUUCCACACUUAGGAUGUUGACUUAAUGGUUUUAAACGACCCGUCUUGAAACACGGACCAAGGAGUCUAACAUAUAUGCAAGUGUUUGGGUGGCAAACCCAUGCGCGUAAUGAAAGUGAACGUAGGUGCGAUCCGCAAGGUGCAGCAUCGACCGAUCUUGAUAUUUUUGGAUAGAUUUGAGUAAGAGCAUAUAUGCUGGGACCCGAAAGAUGGUGAACUAUGCCUGAAUAGGGUGAAGCCAGAGGAAACUCUGGUGGAGGCUCGUAGCGAUUCUGACGUGCAAAUCGAUCGUCAAAUUUGGGUAUAGGGGCGAAAGACUAAUC